GGUGCUGUGUAUGUCUGUGGGUGCUGUAUGUGUGUAGGUGCUGUGUAUGUCUGUGGGUGCUGUAUGUGUGUAGGUGCUGUGUAUAUCUGUGGGUGCUGUAUGUGUGUGGGUGCUGUAUGUGUGUUGGUGCUGUGUAUGUCUGUGGGUGCUGUAUGUGUGUAGGUGCUGUGUAUGUCUGUGGGUGAUGUAUGUGUGUUGGUGCUGUGUAUGUCUGUGGGUGCUGUAUGUGUG